rnacentral:tRNA from 5 species
GCGGGCGUGGUUCAAUGGUAGAACGCUACCUUGCCAAGGUAGAGACGGCGGUUCGAUUCCGCUCGCCCGCUCCA